UGAUGGGAAGACACCAAAGGAUAGGAUGGCCACGUAACUGGAAUGAUGCAUCUACAAGCCAAGGAACACUGUAGGCUACCAGAAGCCAGGAGAGUGACCUGGAAGAUUCUUCCCAAGUGCCUUCAGAGGGAGCAAGUCACUGCCGACACCCUGAUUUGGGGCUUCUGGCCCCCAGAACUAUACCUGCCGGGAAGACUAUCGAAAACAGCUGUUUGGUCCACAAGAAAUGAACCAAGUGAAUCCAAAGUACUGCAGGCAUUCAACUGGCGGAUUCCCAAAGUCAGACCCUGUCCACUAAGCCCAGGAUUUAUAAGGAAUUAAAGAGGAUUCCAUCACAAGGACAUAUAUGGUAUGUGUUUCCUCACGGUGAAAAUCAGAUUGAUUCCUGAGUCCAGGAAAGCUACACAUUCAUGGAAACAGGAAUUCUGGGAGGAAUUUGACAAGAUGAAAGUUGUGUAAGCAAUCUAGGUUAGCUGCUUUGCACUUUCAUAUUAAUUUAAUUGGCUGGAGUUUAGACUAUUGAAUUCUGGAAUGGCAGGCGUCUUUCUCUUUCCCAGCUCUAUAAUUCUCUGGCCUGUAACUUCUCUAUUCCCUUCUUUCAUUUAACAUUUUAACAUUCAUCUGAAUGGAAGUGUUCAAAAGAAGGAAUCACCAAAAGGUUUCAACAUGUGAAGAAAUUUUCUAUUCCUAAAAGUGUCUCAAGUCUUGGAAAA